rnacentral:lncRNA from 1 species
CUUGAAACAGGGUCACUAAUGGAAAGUGGAGUCCUUUGCCUGUCCAAGGUAAGUAUUUGUUUUGCAGUGGCCACAAGGAGAGUUGUGUAUUCCUUUCAGAUCAGGGUACCAGCUAGGUGUAAUGGCACACGCCUGUAAUGUCAGCGACCUGGGAGGCUGAGGCAGGAAGAUCACAAAUUCAAGGCCAGGCUCAGCAACUUAGUGAGACCCUCAGCAACUCAGCAAGACCCUGUCUCAGAAUGAAAAAUAAUAAGGGCUGGGAAAGUUGCUCAAUGAUUGAGUACCCCUGGGUUUAAUCCCCAGGAACAACCCCCACCAGAAAAAAAGAUCAGGGUGCUGGUGACCUUAUGACCUGAGAAUGGUCAGAGAGCUGCUACCAGCUGGGGAGGUCCACACAGUGGCCUUAUCUCCAAACAUCCAUGAUGGGCUUCCCUAAGUCUAUGAAGGGAAGAAAGGGAGGAUGCCUUGGGUGUGGAAGGGAGGGGUUACCCAGUGGGAUUGGUGCAGUUCACUACAAAGAUCUCCCCCAAACUGGUGAGUCUGAUUGCAGCAGGUGGAAGGGAUCAAGGCCAGAGUCCAUUUCCUUUCCUGGAGGGAGGAGUUUCUCAGCUCACCUGUUGCUUCCCUGAUCUUAGGUAGCCUUUCCCUCCUUGUGUCUUUGGCCAAGGCUCUAGGCUAGAAUGUGUCCUUCCUUCAUGCCAAGAGAUGCUCUUGCUCAGGAAAAAGUAUAAGGGACAGCCCCAGGGAGACCUCUGCUCUCAGCCUCUGCCCAGGGGUUCAUGUGGUUCCAGCAGAGCAGGGCAGGAGUCCUCCAUGAUUAAGUUUCAGCUCCUACUAGUGAAGACACCAGAACCCAUCUGAACUCCUGACCCUCCCCCAACUGGAAUCUCAGGUGGAUGAGUCACAUUAGGGACCAUGGAAAAGGGCACUUUAAGCCUGUUUAUGAGAAAACAGAAGAGAAAAUGGGAAUGUCAACAUUCACCUCUAACAUCUAUCAUGGGCUUCAGAUGCUUCUCUUUACCAAAGUAAUGUUCAUACCCAACUGCCAGGGCUGUGUAAAUGAAGUCAGGGACCCUUAUGUUGGACACCCUCCUUGUCCUGAGUGCAGCUGGUGGGCUGUGGUUAUGUAACGGUGUAUUUAUCUUUCCUGCUUUUAUGGAAUGCUCGCUCAUCUUCUCACUUCCCCUUGUCUUCUGCAGGGAAGCCCAGUUCUGUCCUGUAGAAGGCUCCUGUUCCAGCAGUUUGGGGGUGCCAUCUGCUACUCUGACCAUCACAGGCCUGUUGCCCUACUGGCCACCUGCCCAUCAGACCGGCUUCCUGUGCCAUGUCCCAACCUGACCACGGCCCUGCUGGCUCCUUUAUCAACAUACCCUGCAAGAAUCUUCCCAUUUCUGGACAAGGCUUCAUUCCUGGAGGCUCCUCUGCUCUUGACCUCCAGCUGUGAUGUCUGUCUGGGUCAUUUGUCAUCAUCUUGCUUUGUCUGAAGGACAGAGAGUUGGGCAAGAAGGGAUCUAGGUAUGGGAGCUCAGUCAGAGACUGGGGAGCUCAUUUGCUUCAGAGGCAGAAGGUGAUGAGGUGGAGAGCAGAGGUGAUAGCAGAACAUAAGGUGGGCCCUGUCUGUCCUUGGUCACCGUGCAGUGCCUUCCUGGACUUGGAGACAGGAGCUUCACCACCACCAGUGCAUUUAGUGAUGUAGUGGAGGUAGAGGGGCUGCUUUCCCAGGAGCCAAGACUAGCAACAUCUUGGAGGUUGUCCUGAUAAAAAUAGGCUCCAAGCUGGGUGCAUACCUGUAAUUCCAGCAACUCUGGAGGCAGGAAGAUUGCAAGUUCAGGACCAGCCUUGGCACUUAGAGGGACUUUUUCUCAAAUUAAAAAAUUAAAAGCAUGGGGAUGUAGCUCAGUGAUAAAGCAACUUUGGGUUCAAUCCCCACCCCCACCCCCACCUAUCCCACCAAAAAAACCCUCCAUUGGUCCCUGAUCUCUGGAACUCCAAACAUAUACCUGCUUUUGUGCAAAACAUUUCUGAUCUAGUCCCAGGGAAAGGUCCAGGGAUGCUGUCAUCCGUGUUGCUAGGGGCUUGGGCUUGUGGAAGCACAGAGACUGAGCUGGGUAUGUCUGAGACCUGGGCUGCACACUUCCUUGAUUGUAGCUGAAACUUUUUCCCCACUAAUUUUAUGCAGAUUCCUGACUAUCCUUGAUGUGGGAGAAGCACCAGAAAAUCUUGCCCCUUUGAGCAGACAUUUUGUUUCCCUAGGAACAGCUGGGAAGCCAGGAAUGAGAAGGAGUUCUGAGAGAGGGAACAGGCCAAUGCUGGGCAUUUGAGGAAAACUACAGGGCCUGAGGGCUCAGCCAGCCUCCACUGGGUCCCAGUCUCCACUGGUUGUGGAAGACAUAGUUAUUUCAAUCCCCCUAUGAGUGAGAGGGGAAGAGGUGAGCUGGGGGGUAUGACGUGGCAGAUUCUGGUCAGGCCAAUGUGUGGGGGUUGAACUUAAGUGUGGGAAAGGAAUGCAGUGUCCCUCAGACCCUGCAUGUCCUUGGCAUCUGUGGAGUGUCUAGUGCAGCCUUGGGAGCUGCUUCCAUUUACUGUGCCCUCUGGGCAUGUCUGGGGCUCCAUCCCCCAAGCCUCUUACCCUUUCCAAUCAGAGCCACUUUCUCUGGGAUGAGCCAGCUGUCCUGAGGGAAAGCCCCCUGGCCUCUCACCUAUCUUAGUCUGCAGGGUGUUUUUGCUGCUGGGUUUAGGGUGAGGCACCCUCCAAGUCAAAUACAGUCUGAACAGCAGACCCUGGGUGGUGCUGCAGCUUGAAGCGCACAGGGCCUCUGGCAUAGGUGGUACAGUGCUGCGCUGCUGGGGUGUUGCUGGCUGGGCUCCCCAUUUUAAUGAGCAGAUGACAAGAUUUCUAAUCAAGUGCUUUAUCUAUACAAGGAUCUGGACCCAAUCCCAAGUCAAAGCAUAGAAAUGCAACACAUUUUUUUGGACUGAUAUUUCCUCCUUACUUUUGCCAUUAGCACAAAAUUUUGAUCUUUCAUUUCCCACUCUCGUGUUGGAUCCUGUCUGCAGACUGGGAGUGACUGCACCCCUUACCCUGUGUGGGACAUGUGCUUACAUAAAGUACUAGUCUGGUAAGAUUUAUUCUAGUUAGGAGGUCAACAAAAGAUCUUUUUAGCUGAAAGUCAGUGUAGUGGCACCCACUGCUGGAACGAGGCCUGCAGGUCUGGCGGCUUUCUGUUGGCUGGGUUUCUGAAGGAGCUUGAAAGGUCGAACUGCAUUUCUUUGAAAAUGAUUACAGGCUUCGGGCUCGCCUCUCUGGGUAGCUAGUAUUUACAGUUGGUUGUGCCAUGUUAUAUUGCAUUCUGGGGUCCUUUGAGGUUUCCAGAUUGUCCCCAUGCUGUCCUGUAUGGGAAUGUCAUACCUCCCUAUCUCUACUGCUCUAACUGCUCCUUCUGCAGCUACUAUGUGCCUGUUGGGCUUUGCCCCUGGCUCUGGGCCGGUGGGCAGGAUGGCUGGGUGUGUUCAGAAAAACAGACACAGGUUUGCUCCUGAAGAAGUACAGACAUGGGAGGUGGUCUUCACCCUCGGCUUGCUGUUGGGGUACUCUGGGUAGGAUCUGAGCUGCCACCUUCCUCUAGAUCAUGCCUCUCCAUCUUUAGAAAGUCCAUUUAUUGGCUUCCAGAGUAUGCAUUAUCUACCUACCAGAGGUCCUAGUGGAGACAAGGAAGAAGUGGAUGGGAAUGUGGCCCAGUCUCCCCUCACUCUCCUGGACCAUGGGCAGCUGCUCAGGUUCUUGGAGGGCUGUCCCCCACCUUACCCCACAUUCUGAUCCAGAAUGACUGUCCUUUUAUUGCUACACUCAGUCUUGGGGCUCAGAGACUUGCUGAAGCCCCCUAAGCCCUUAUGACUGAAUUUGUGUAGAUGGUGCUUAUGUUGGUAUUUGGGGCAUUUCCACUAUGACCUUCAUGAGAGGUUCUUCCGGUCACAUCUCUGUCUCUGGGGACCACCUGACUCACAGAAGAAACUACCCUUUGCAGGUGCUGUUGGGCACCCAGAUGUCUCUAGCUCCACUGAUGCUUGAAAACAGCUGCAGAAAAACUUGAGAUAGAAGGUCUUAGGUGGAGUUUCUGCCUAUGCUAAUGAAUGUCAAAUGAUGUUUCUUAGAAAAUAUGUGGUUCAGUUUUUGGGGGCAUAGUCUUGAAGCCCAAGCCUUCUGCCUUCUUUUACCAUCUCAUUCAACCAUGUCAUGACCCACAUGUGAAACCUUAGCCCCAGUGAACCCAUAGCCAGCUAGUGGCAAAGCUGAGACUAGAACUCACAGCCCAGGGUUCUGUCCUCUGCACCAGCUGUGUGACUGAUAGAGAAAGUGACUGGACCUUCCAGGUUUGGGGGAAGCCAUGUUGGGAGGUGCAGCACCUGGUGGGUCCUUGGUCUCUGCUAUUUUCUGUCAGGAGGGCUCUUCUCUUGGAUUGGUCAGUGAGGACCCCGGGAUUUGAUUUGAGCAAAGAGAAUGGAGAGGAAAAGGGAUUCCAGGGAACUGCUCCUCAGUGACCUCUGGUCUUCAGCUCCAGUCUAUAAGGUGGCGGAGGCCAGGGCACAGAUGCAGUUCACCACCCCCAGCUUCCUUGCUGCAAAUUAAGACAGAAGGUGGUAAAAGAAAACUCUCUCAUUUUUCUCUGAUUCUUAAAGGAAAGUGAUUAAUAGGAACCUAGGUUCAAUUGAUCAGCCGGGACAUGGCCUAUUUCACUUUCCUUACCUUGACCCUAGAAGGUGCCAACUCAAACACUACCUUUUUCAUUUGUUUCUUAGUCUAUAGAUUCAGCUGUGUUGUGGGGAAUGGUGGGGGAUUCAAGUAGAUCUUACAGCUCCAGGGGCUGGAAGGGACCAGGCCAGUCAUCCAUGUUCAGGACCCUCUGGCUCCUCCCCCACUCCAGCUAUUCCUUAUCAAAGUCAAGGGUAGGAUAAUGAAGUUUGCCAAGGCUGCCCCUGCAGCUUGGUGGGGGCCUGUGGGGGCAUUCCUCUACCCAGUUCCAGUAUCUGUUUUACCAUCAGCCCCGCAUCCACCCCUAUUCCCACCCCUCUCCUUUCAGCUGGGCCAUGUACCCCUUUGUGAGGAAGAAGAUACCCCCACUUAGGGCCACAGGCAGCGGAGUCCUGCCUACUGAGAGGCUGUUGGGACAGAGGCUCUGUCCUGUGCCUUAUCAGCCCUGGGGAGAGGAUGUUUGGCUGGAAGACUGGAAUUUAAUUGCCAUUGUCUUUGAUUUUGUGAUAUUUCUGCUUGGAGGGGUGAAACCCCCCUUCCCACUCUUUAGCAUGUGUGCCAACUCUCCCCUGUCAUGGGUGUUACCCUUCGACACUCCAGCUCAGGGAGUGCUGAUGUCCUCAUGUGAAGAGAUUCCUGUGUGAUAGAACCUAAGAAAUGUAGCUUGGAAGUGACCCCUGUGACGAUGACGUUUCUUUCUUUCCUCUUAGUGAGGAGGUGAUUUGUAGAUCCUGACUGCCUAUGUAAUGUAAAUAGUGUACAUUUAAUUUAUUGCUAUGGUAGCAUAUUGUAUUUGUUAAUGUAUAAAACAAAUUCUAAAAGGUUGACAAAUGUAUAUUUUGUUGCUUAAAUGUGUCUUUGCAGAAAUUGACAAUAAAUAACAUAUUUUGUGUCCAUCAGUGUUCCAGCUUCUUUUGCGGGUGGCCCCAGGCCUGGGUAUCACCUUUCAGUUCACUGGAGGUUGCAUAUUAGCUGGCCUAUGGAUCUGUUAACUUUGGCUUGAAAAGCAUUGAAAUUUUUUUAAAGAUGAGUCAUCAAUGUUUCAAAACUAAUCACAACUUUCAAAAAUAUACCUAGAAAUUUCACAUAAAAAUCUCAAUUUUCUGUUUCUCUUAAAAAAUCAGAUGCUGAAUCUGCUUCUCAGGUGUGAAUUCAUCAGAGCUCACUGGAAUCUGUCUUUUUUUGGGUGGGACCUGAUUACACCACAGUUUUCACCAUUCUUUAUUGUCCACCUCUGGACCAUUUUACUCUUUCCCAUUAUUUGUUUGCAUCUAUAGGUAUGAGUUUAGACCCUGAUAUUCACUGAUUUAUCUCUAUCCUGCAAUUUUCUUCCUUUUCCCCACUUUCUCAAAUUACUGAUUCACUUAUUUAAGGAUUCUUUCAUAACUAAAAAACCUCUGUUCCUGUUCUUCUUUGACCCUCAAAUGGUCACACCCCUCUUUUUAAAAAAAUAUUUUUAGUUGUGAGUGAACACAGUACGUUUAUUUUACUUUUAUGUGUGCUGAGGAUCAAACCCAGUGCCUCACACAUGCCAGGCGAGCACUCUAUCACUGAGUCACAGCCCCAGCCCUGGCCACACUCUUUUAUACACUCUGCUUUACACUGUUUGGGUCUAGAUAUAGAAGUAAUACCUGUAAAUAAUUUUUUUCUUAAGAAGAUUGAAGACAAGGAACAAAUCUUUGAAUAACUGACAGGAAUUCAUUUUGUGAUCCUGGGCAAAUUACUUCCCAUGAUUUGCAUUUUCUUUUAUGUAUAUUCAGAAAUCUAACCCAUGUGUAAAGCAUAAAGAUAAAAAUGAGUUCAUAAUUGGAGAAGAGCUUUGAAAAAAAUGGCAAGUAUUAUUUAAUCACCAGAAGUUCAAUAAUAAUGAUGAUAACCAUGGUACCAGAUGACAUUUAUUGCUAGCUGACCAUGUGGUAAUUGUUUUACAUAUGUAGUCAGUUUUGUUAUGACAUUCUAGUUCCUAAAAAUAACACUGCGUGAAAUCAUGCAACCACAGGACUAAUGGGAAAAGUGGGGGUAGGUGCAUAAUACUCAAAAACUUUAUCAGUGACACAUAAACAUAAAAGGUUAUGUUUAUACCAUACUUAAUAAAAAUGGUAAUAAUUUUGUACAUGUUGAUGGUUAGGAAGUACAUAAAUAUUAUAAUACAUAAGGCAUUUGAGCUUGAAAAAGGCCUGAAGUUUGCUUGUGGAGGUGGGUGUUAGAAGGGUUGUCACUUAUGAAUUAUUAUGAAGACGUAGAGGGGAUUUUUUUCUGAAAUUGGAUGGGUGAUGAUAACACCAGAUAUGGAUGGGUGUGGCUGUAGCACACACGGUAUAUAGAGGUAGGUGAUAGAUAUUUGAGGUGCAUGUAUGUUUUGUGUGUGCCUGUAAAGUUCAGUUUAGCUGGGUCCAGUUUUCUACUUUCACAUAUUUCUCAUGGAUGAAUUGUGAAAUCAAAAGUACAAUUUGCAUUACACUCAAGUCAUUCCCUAUUAUAUCAAUUGUGUUGGUGUAUUUAUUUAUUUAUUGUGGUACUGGAGAUUAAACCCAAGGGCACUUUACCACUGAACCAUGUCUCCAGCCCUUUGUAUUUUGAGUCAGGGACAUACUAAGUUGACCAGGCUGGCCUUGAAUUUGAGAUCCUUCUGCCUCAGCCUCCUGAAUAGUUGGGAUUACAGGUGUGCAUCAUCACACUCAGGGAAACCCCUUCUUAAAACAAGUGUAAUAACAGAACUGACUCUAUUCUCAUUUACUUAUCCAAACAACCCAUGAACAUGUGUUAUUAUUUCCAUUUAACGUAAGGGCUCAGAAGCAAUUCAGUUUGGAACCCAAAUCUAGUAGGCUGAUGUCAACAUGAAGGUAAGUUCUAGACUGUUGGGGGUUCUGAAUGCAUACAAAUGCUCCAGGUAGAGUGCAUACCAGUUUUCUCUGGUUUCCCUGCCCAGUUGGCAGUCCCUGUCCUGGGACCCAUGUCUGUACCCUUCUGGGCUGGGGCCAUCCCACUCAUGUUAAGCAGCACAUCCUCUGAGCCUGUGGUGUAAGGCUUCUUAUUUCUCAGCAUGUCACCAUGGCUGCAAGUGAAGCCUCAUCUUUCACACACACACCCCAGGUCUGUCUGUACCUCAUGGUUUGGCUGCUUCCUGGGUUCAGCCUUUCUUUCCAGAAGCUGAGAUGUCACUUAUGGCUGAAGGCUUGUAGAGACUGAACACUUCUUGUCUGUGUGAGAAAGUGCUGUAGGGGCAUGGAUGCCAUUCAGCUGGGCCAACGACUGUCCCUCCAAACUUUCAGACCCUGCUAGUGCUCUGAAAGCUCACCUGUUAGUCCAGGUAUCUGUCUUUAGAUGUUCUCUCACCAGGUGGGCACUCCUCCAGGUUGAGGACUCAGUCUUAGGACUCUAAAAAAUCUGUUCAUUGACCUCAGGGUCCAACAGCGUACAGCAGUCAUUGGUGUGUGUUGGAUUAUUCUGUCUCCUGCACAGGGGAAGGCUUUGCUGAGGAGUAUGGUCAGGCUGUGCUCAGAUUUCCCCCGAGUCUUAUUUUUUGAGUGCCUAUUGUGUCCUAAGAUGCUACUGACCAGCUGUGAGCUGAUCAGCCUUUCUCUGCCCUCUGGGCUUCUGAGUCCAAUAAUGACAUCAUAGUCUAUUUCUGUAAUGUUGCACUAUCAGUUAUUAAAACAAUCCCAUUUCAUUCAUGCCCAGUCUUGUUUGUUUUAAACAUCACAUUCAAUUCAGAGCUGUCCCCACCAAUCUUUGGGGUAGGCUGGCCUGGUAGGACCAGUCUUUUGCUUUGGGACUCCCUUGUUGACUGAAGUUUACUCAGGCUCCUGAGUCUCUUUUUGGCUCAGUCUUACCCUUAAGCCCAGUUUUAGCUAAGAGUCCUGCUAAACCAGUUUGAGAAUUCCCUAGCCUAGAUAUCCAAACCAGGUAACUCACCCUUCACUCUUGAUACCUAACCAAGUUCCUCUUGGUAAUUUUAUACUUUAGAAAGUCACCCUGAAAAUUGGUUAUAAAUCCUCACUUGUCCCUGUUAUGUUCAGGGUUGGGUUCAAUCUCUCACCUCUAUCUCAAAGGUUUGGAAUAAAGUCUUCCUUGCCUGUUUAACUCUGGUGCAAUUUUUCUUUGUUAAGUGGUUGGUCUGCCCUCCCAUCAACAUCCCCUGACUCUUCCACACUUCCACACUAGAGAGGAGGAGGGCAAAAGAGACCUCUCGUUUUGGGACUGUCCCUGGAAAGACACAGGGUAGUCUGCGGUACUCUGAGAAGCAGACACCAAGACCGGAGUGACACAUUUCUCAAGACCCUUGAGAAAGUGAGGAAGGAGCUGGAGAAGGUGGAAAGCUGUCUCCUGGGAGGCAGGUCUGACCUUGAGUGAAGGAGAAAUAAAGGAAUGGAAGGUUGGACUGAAGUGUCUGAGUUCUAAGAUGAAUUCAGCAAGGUCACUGGGGAGUCCUCUAGCCAGAGUUCUUCACCUGAGGAUUCCUGAAUGAUUCUAGGAGGAGACUAAAAUUACUUCCCCUGCCACGCUCAGCCAUUGGGUGGGAGCAGCAGGAAGCCUGGCUUUGGUGGAGUUCCAGUCCAAACCCANCCCUGUGACGAUGACGUUUCUUUCUUUCCUCUUAGUGAGGAGGUGAUUUGUAGAUCCUGACUGCCUAUGUAAUGUAAAUAGUGUACAUUUAAUUUAUUGCUAUGGUAGCAUAUUGUAUUUGUUAAUGUAUAAAACAAAUUCUAAAAGGUUGACAAAUGUAUAUUUUGUUGCUUAAAUGUGUCUUUGCAGAAAUUGACAAUAAAUAACAUAUUUUGUGUCCAUCA